GCGGGCCCGGUCCUCCCGCCGCGGCGCGGCUUCCGGGCCCUCGCUGCUCGCCCGGAGCGGGUCUGCGCGCAGAGGGGGCCCGGCCCGGUACUUCUGGCUUCGGGGUGUUAGGUUCUGUGAAAGGGGGAAAGUGAAAGCCCUCGGAGUUAGGGAAACGCGACGGAUCUAUUCACUGACCAGUCCGGACCCCGGGCGCACCUCGAGGCAGGGCAGCAGUGGCUGGGAGAAAGCUGAAGCAAACCAAGGCAAAACUGAAAAGCAAAGGCAGUAAAACUGCAAAUGCAAACACUGCAGGAAGAAAAUGCCUGGUGACUGCGCAUCCCAACUUGUCAAGAUUUGUCCUCAAAAGGGUGAGUGUCUGGUCCUUAGCCAAGUCGCCUAGCAGUUCGCCGGCCGAGCCUCAGCGCUUCGGAACCAACGCGCCGCAGUGGAGAGCCCCCGCAGCUCCGGCUGACGGGCUCCCGUCCUGGCUGUGCCGCGUCCUGGGCCAGCGAGGGGCUCACCUGCCUUCUCCGAGUCUCCUCCACUGUGAAAUGGCAGUGACAGUAAUACCGGUCUCCCGGG